ACGGCUCAGUAACACGUGGCUAACCUGCCCUUGGGACGGGGACACCCCCGGGAAACUGGGGUUAAUCCCCGAUAGGUGGAGAACUCUGGAAUGAGUCUCCGCCCAAAAGGCGUUUACGCUAUGCUCGUAGGCGUUGCCCAAGGAUGGGGCCGCGUCCGAUCAGGUUGUUGGUGAGGUAAUGGCUCACCAAGCCUUUUACCGGUGCGGGCCGUGGGAGCGGGAGCCCGGAGAUGGGCACUGAGACAAGGGCCCAGGCCCUACGGGGCGCAGCAGUCGCGCAAACUUUGCAAUACACGAAAGUGUGACAGGGCUAUCCCGAGUGCCAUCCGCUGAGGAAGGCUUUUACCCAGUUUAGAACGCUGGGAGAAUAAGGAGAGGGCAAGACUGGUGUCAGCCGCCGCGGUAAUACCAGCUCUCCGAGUGGUGUGGAUGUUUAUUGGGCCUAAAGCAUCCGUAGCUGGCUGGGCAAGUCCCCUGUUAAAUCCACCGAUUUAAUCGUUGGUGUGCGGGGGAUACUGCUCGGCUAGGGGACGGGAGAGGCAGACGGUAUUUCCGGGGUAGGGGUGAAAUCCUAUAAUCCCGGGAGGACCACCAGUGGCGAAGGCUGUCUGCUAGAACGCGCCCGACGGUGAGGGAUGAAAGCUGGGGGAGCGAACCGGAUUAGAUACCCGGGUAGUCCCAGCUGUAAACGAUGCAGGCUAGGUGUUUGGACGGCCACGUGCCGUUCUAGUGCCGCAGGGAAGCCGUUAAGCCUGCCGCCUGGGGAGUACGGCCGCAAGGCUGAAACUUAAAGGAAUUGGCGGGGGAGCACCACAAGGGGUGAAGCCUUCGGUUUAAUUGGAUUCAGCGCCGGG
rnacentral:rRNA from 1 species